GCCCUCGUAGCCCAAUGGCAGAGGCAGGCGCCUUAAAAGCGCCCAAGUGCGGGUUCGAAUCCCGUCGAGGGCA
rnacentral:tRNA from 1 species